GACACUAGCUAUCAGACUCCAUUCUAGAGCCUAAAAAGCCAUCUAGGGAACAGAGUAAUGAACCCAUUUUAUAUGUUAGGAUUUGUCCUUUUUGUAUAUCUCGACUAGUGGGAAUUUCCUGGAGUUUGGAAAGUACCACUUAAUCUUUUACAUAAGGAAAUUAUGUAGGCAGGUUAGUUCUUCUCCAAAAAGACUAGGGUUUUUUUGUUUGUCUUUUAAGAUUCUUGAGACCUUUAGUUUCCUGAACUGGAAGAUAAUAAUUUGUUUUUCCACAAAGGACUAGUGACAUCUGUUUUUUCAGUAAACCCAAGGCGAAUGAUUCUUGAAUAUUUUUUCCUAUUCUUUGACCACUUGUCAUAUAUGCGUCUAUCUCUAACGAAAAUAUAUAUAUACACACCCACACACACAUAUAUGUACAUAUGUAUGUAUAUAUAUGCACAUUUAUAUGUCAAAUUUACAUAUAUAUAUAUACACACACACACUUUUUAAUAUAC
rnacentral:lncRNA from 1 species